AUUGAACGCUGGCGGCAUGCCUUACACAUGCAAGUCGAACGGCAGCACGGGUGCUUGCACCUGGUGGCGAGUGGCGAACGGGUGAGUAAUACAUCGGAACAUGUCCUGUAGUGGGGGAUAGCCCGGCGAAAGCCGGAUUAAUACCGCAUACGAUCUACGGAUGAAAGCGGGGGACCUUCGGGCCUCGCGCUAUAGGGUUGGCCGAUGGCUGAUUAGCUAGUUGGUGGGGUAAAGGCCUACCAAGGCGACGAUCAGUAGCUGGUCUGAGAGGACGACCAGCCACACUGGGACUGAGACACGGCCCAGACUCCUACGGGAGGCAGCAGUGGGGAAUUUUGGACAAUGGGCGAAAGCCUGAUCCAGCAAUGCCGCGUGUGUGAAGAAGGCCUUCGGGUUGUAAAGCACUUUUGUCCGGAAAGAAAUCCUUGGCCCUAAUACGGUCGGGGGAUGACGGUACCGGAAGAAUAAGCACCGGCUAACUACGUA
rnacentral:rRNA from 1 species